rnacentral:rRNA from 1 species
UGCAGCCGAGCGGUAGAGAUUCUUCGGAAUCUUGAGAGCGGCGUACGGGUGCGGAACACGUGUGCAACCUACCUUUAUCAGGGGGAUAGCCUUUCGAAAGGAAGAUUAAUACCCCAUAAUAUAUUUGAUGGCAUCAUUAGAUAUUGAAAACUCCGGUGGAUAGAGAUGGGCACGCGCAAGAUUAGAUAGUUGGUGAGGUAACGGCUCACCAAGUCCA